UACAGAGGUCUCAAGCGUUGUUCGGAUUCAUUGGGCGUAAAGGGUGCGUAGGCGGCGCGGUAAGUCGGGUGUGAAAUCUCGGAGCUUAACUCCGAAACUGCAUUCGAUACUGCCGUGCUUGAGGACUGGAGAGGAGACUGGAAUUUACGGUGUAGCGGUGAAAUGCGUGGAUAUCAAGAGGAACACUCGUGGCGAAAGCGAGCUACUGGACAACUCCUGACGCUGAGGCUCGAAGGCUAGGGUAGCGAAAGGG
rnacentral:rRNA from 1 species